AGCAGCGCGUCAGGAGAGGAUUCAUCGAAGUACACUUCCGGUCGUCGGCAUGCGCAUUCAUUCACAUAAAUGAUUUAGUGCGACCUGCAUGUCUGUGUCCCGAUUCGGUUUCGUCACAGGAUGAGGACGCAGAGAUGAAGCGCCAGUCCACCGAACCGAGUGAGACGCGAUUAAGCGCAUCCCGCUUCCGAGACCCUCUUGCAUAAGGAACCUGCGCAUUCACUCAGCGACUUACAGGUCCACGUUAUGUCUGUUACUACAGAGCCAUACACACACCAUGAUGAACGGAUCCCAAGAUAAACCCCCGAGGAAGUAUGGCUCCGUUUGCAUUCGAAAGAACGCCGCGUCUCUGUGAUCCCUCGGUAGACGCGAAGUGCACGCGAACAUUGCACGCUUGACAUUUCAUCACUAGCUUUCCAGGCGCCAAAGAUAUUUCCAUCUCAGGUCUGGUCUUCUGUUACCGUUCUCACCGAGGGGUUUUCCCUCUCUGAGCGCAGCGCGCUCUGACUCAGUGAGUUGAAACAUUCGCGGACUGGGCGGGAUAGGUUCUUCAAGUUCCUCCUCAGCAGGUUCGUCCGGCUCUUCGCGGUGGUUCCUCAGGUCGGCGUUCUCCAGCUUCUGAUCUCUACCUCCCAGCGUCUUCUCUUCGUGCUCCUCCUUGCGCUCUCGCCCCUCAUCUCCUUCCUUGCUCACUCCGACUACGCUGCGGUCUCUGUCUCCGGCAUCCCUCCACUGCGGUCGCUCUCGGAACCUCUCCUCGCGUCUUUUCUCGAACUCUCUUCUGCGUCUGUCCCAAGCCGCAGCUCGCUGUUGCUCUCGAUGCAGCUCGAGGUGAACGUCCACGACAGCGAGGCCGAAGGCGUCUGCGAGCAGAGCCGCUUGCUUCACAGCAUCUCGGCGAUUUGCGCCCGAGAACGCGACGGCAAUCUUCUUCGCCUCUAGAGUUGGAGCGCGACCUAGGAAGGUUUUUGGGUCGUCGAGAAAUCGCUUCUGCUUCUCUUCGUCUGCAAAGAGAAACACGCGCCCCGCGUAGUCCACAGCGAGCUCCCUGCGACCCUCAGCAGCCACGCCCUCGUCGAACAGCGUCACCGGACAGCUUUGCUUCCAGGCCGACCAGAUCCGGGAAAAGACCUGAGGCAAGUCGCUCUCUUCGGCACUCUCUCGGGCCGUUGACGCCCCGCUGCGGUGGCUCAGAUAAGCUGGAAAGGAAAGAGGACACCCAGAAGUGACGCGAAGGCAGUAGAGAAACGACACAGGGACCGAUACGCAGGAAAUGUGCAGGUGCGAAGGAAAGAUGGACUCCGAGGAGCCUUCGGCUACGCUUCGACAAGUCCCCUUUCUCCAAUGCCCUACUCAAUUCUUCAUGAAUGCAUUACGUUUAUUGGUAAUGCAUGGGUAUAACUACCGCACCGACACUCAGCUAGCUCCUGAGAGAGACAAAUGCGGGAUGGCAUGAUAAGGAAGUCGCUGGGGAACACAGUCGCCCCAUAGGGUGUGUAGUGUCUCUGUUGUUUUUUUCGGGCAAAAAGCGGUGGGGGAUUGAGGCUGGCUCGACAAAAACGGCUGAGCAUCCUGCGGUGUCGCUGCCCGAUACAGGUCUUCAUGCUUUCGUGUUUUCUGUUGCUCUCUUCUUCAUCUCCCGUUCGCCUCCCCUUUCCCCCGACAUCGGUGCGUUUGAUGAAUAGAGUCGCUUGGAACGAAAACGUCUAUCCAACAGUCAUCGAAUUACAGGUAGUACUGGAAUAUCACCCAGCAUUUUCUGCCGUGGCCUCUCGCUUUCCUGUAGAUCGGCGGGUCCCGGGAGCAACCCGCGCACUGCUUCACUGAGGUUUUCACUGAACAGAAGAGGCAUAUGUAUUUGCAUGAGGCGCAUGUCUCUUGCAAAAGGCGAAACCAUCUUCUCCUUCAUCAUCUCACUCCUUUUUCCUUUGAUCUUCCUUGAGUCCGCCUCUCCGUUCCUCAUCCCCUUUUUCACUUCUUCGUUCCCCUUCUCUUUUCUUCGUUAUCUCGCUCCUUUCUUUGUUCGCGUUCUCCUUUCUCUUCGUCCUUCUCGAACCGUAUUCGGCCUUCCCUAAAGGUUCCUGUUUCCCCCCCUCGGUUCUUCGUUUGCUGAUUCUCCUCGCCUGUCUCUCCGCGUUAUUCUUCCCUUCUCCGGCCAAGUCUCACCGUCAGCGUCGUCAGCGACGGCAGCGUCACUGUUCGCGUUAGCUUCGAGGUGCGCUUGGGAUCCCUGCUGGUCUCUGCCCUCUUCGAAUCCUGUCGGCGUGAGGUCCUCCUCGUCUGAGGUCUCGCCUUCUCGCUCUUCGACGACUUCAUCCUCCGCCUCUCUGCGCUCCCGCGCCCGGGCCUCCUCCAAGCCGAGAGACAGCAAAUCCGCCAGAGGCGUGUAGGGUUCGACGCCGCGGAUGGGCGUUGGCAGCGGCGCCGCUGUCUGGAGAAACGGAGGCGCAGCAGCCACUGCCGCAGGCGUCUUGUUGAUGUGCAUCGCUAAGAUGCGCGCCAUCCCACUCGUUGAUGUGUCGCCUAACCAAAGGAGCAGAAAGACGGUGACAAAGAAUACAAGAUAGACUGGAGCAGGAAAGAAAACGAGAGACGAGAACGGACUCAGGCGGAGCACGAGAAGAGAGGGAAAAAAGCCGGCAGAGAACAUGAAAAGAAACAAGAAAAAACGAAACACUGGAGGAAAGAAGGUGAACCACAUCACGAGAGAAAACGCAGAAACUGGAACAGAAAACAUGAAGACGGAACGCCGAGCAAGAGACAUCCGGCUUGCCGCCUUCGUCUGGAGCUCGUCUGCGAAGGACGAGCGUCGGAGAAACCGAAAGAAGGCGCCUUGAGGCAUCCGCAGUGUGUCGGAAUCGCCGCACCGUGGUAGAGCUUCAACGCCCGCGAGCCGGCCUUCAUAAUGUCCGACAAAAUGUCGUUUGCCAGCUCGCGCUGCUCUCUCAAGUAGUCCGCCGUUAAAGCGGGGAAGUACAGUUUCCCGUUCUCGCUGAUCCCCCCAGGACGCGAGAGCGCGCGCCUCAGUGGCGGAGUCGCCGGACAUGCAAAGGCGGGAGGAAACAUGCGCCGGAGGGCCUGAGCGACAGGUCAGAGACUCCAGUUGUGAAAUGCAUACAGCCAAGUUUUUGAUGCCUGCUGUACAGUAUCACCCCACUGGAGUGAAUAAGUGAGCUCAAAGCGCUACAAUUGCAUACCCGACGACAUCAAACGUAUUCCACGUCGAUUAUGCUCUAAGCGCAAGAAGCACGAUAGAGCUAUCAGUGCUGUUAACGACUCCAGCGCGCGUACUCAAAGACACCCUACAGCGGGCAACGCAGACGGAGAAAGCGACACACAGCAGCAUGUACAUCUCGCAAGGAAGAGGCGAAACGCGCAGCGAGGGUACGGCGGGGAAAGAAGAAUUUGUGAAGGCGGUUGUUUCUAAGUUGCUCGUUCGUCGCUGAACGCGUCAUAGCAGCUCUUCUGUGGAGUAGCAGACUCCACUGAUGAUGUGCUACAGACUUGAUUUUCCGGUCGCCCACGGGGGUUCUAUCUAAGCAGCCGAGUAGCAUCUUAGACGACAGAUGGCCAGAAGAAAAAGACGUAGCCGGUCUGUCGGGGAGAGACGCAGAGUAGAGAGGAAAAGUGAGGGAGAAUCGGAGUGACCAAAUCGGGGUCACCUGAGCGGAAUUCCCAGCCUCCGACUUGGACGUCAGGCGCGACCAGGCCAGGGACGUGAGGCAGCAGAGGCACUUCAGACUCACAGUCAGAAGAUCUUCGCCGAUGUCGAGGUCUUCCCAGUUCAUCGGCGCCUCGUCCACGAAGGACUUGUUCACAGUCGAGAGUGAGUCUGCAGGAAUCGGCGAAAGGGUGACGAAAACAUGCACAGGAGAGCGUGGAAAGGCAGACGGAAAAGCAGUCGGGCUGUCAGGCAGAAGAAUAGAAACGUCGCAGGUCGUGUUUGAGGAAAGAUGAAAGAAACUGAAGACGGCGGAAAAGCAUGAAAAACUCUUUCAUUUCCCUGAACGGAUGUCUACGCUUACGAUUCAGCGGCCGGGACUACCUGGCGUUUAACGCCUCCGUGUGCCAGCCUCACACCGCCCAGAGAGGAUUCUCUUGAGCUUUUCUGGGGAAACGAACAAGUGAGGCUUGAACAAAAGCCUUCGCCGCAGAUGAACGCUCACAUCUCGAUUGCAUGCAACCAAAAACAGAGGCGUGACGAAGUAAAAACUCAGACAAUCUUGCGAGGUGCCAGAGACCAUGCGGACUCUAGAGUAUAAUGAAACAUUAGACCGGACCUGCGACAGAUGAACCUUUCACGGAUCCCUGGAUAUUCGCAGGCGAGUGUCAGCCAGGCAUGCGAAUUUCAAGUUGUUCAUGAACCCCAUUUGGGCAAACAGGCUUGAUAGCGCUACCGCAAGUACAAAAACAAUUAUACAGACCCAGCAUUCGCGGGUGCACGGUCGAAGAGUCGAGUACUUUCCACUCAGACAGAGUCCGCCACGCUCACGAGACACUGGAGAAAAACCUCGGCAGAUUCAGGCUCAAAGAGACGACCAGAGUGCGCAGACCUGGCGAGAGAACGGGAGAAAUCGGGGACCUGUUUCAACAGAGACAGAGGAGACAAGCAAAGAUCCCUCGGUUUCCUGUUGCUCACCUGUGCUCUUUCCGGGCAUAAGAGGAGGCCUUUUGAACGUCCGGACGGUCGAGUCGAGCACUCGCACGGUGCCGCCGGUGUCUGCAUCGAUUCUGGAGAGAGCCACAAAGCAAGCGUGAGAAGUGAGGACAGUCAAAGAAAGCGACAGAGGACGCCCGAACGUCGCCAGAGCUGCGACUUGGAGACAAGCUGUGAGUAAGGAACGAGAGAAUCAAGACGCGUGACGAAAAGCAGAGCUGAACGCUUACCCAAACGAUUUCGCGAUGGCAUCCGCAUCUUCGGAUUCGACUUGUACGAGAACCACCUCUCUCGGAUACACAUCCAUAAGCGGAUUCGGCAUCUUUUCGCCUGCUUGCAGAGCUUUCUCCAACGCCUCUUGUGCUUCUUGUUUUUCGUCAACUUCUUCAUGUUCCCCCUCAUCCUCCCCUUCGUCACUCUCGUCCUCGCCUCUUCCCUCUCCUUCCUCCCUCUCUCCUUCCUCCCUCUCUUCUUCCUCCCUCUCUCCUUCCUCUCUCUCUUCUUCCGCUCUCUCUUCUUCCGCUCUCUCUUCUUCCGCUCUCUCUUCUUCCGCUCUCUCUUCUUCCUCUCUCUCUUCUUCCUCCCUCUCUUCUUCCGCUCUCUCUUCUUCUUCUGCGUUCUCUCCUCCUUCGAGAUGUUCUUCUCCUUCUCUCUCCUCUCGUGUCUCCCUGUCUUCUGGUCCCUCUUCAGACGCGGGCAGAGUCCGUUUUUGGUCUGCCUCCUCUUCUUCUCCCUCGUCUCCAAGCAGGGAAGCAGAGGGCAGGCGUCCUUCUUGUUGAGGGUUUAGACCCCCUAGCUCUUCCUCACCCAUAUCGGGUGCUGUUUCUUCGUUUUUCUCUGCGUGUGCUUCGUCGCAUUGCCCUUCCGCGAAUGCCGCUGAUGUGCCAUCUUUUGCGUCCUUCUCUCCCUCUUCCUGGCUCUGCUCGUCCGGGUCUCGACUCCGCGACUCGUCUUCACUCGGUUGUUUGUUCGUUCCCGCAGAGGAGGUUGCGUCUGCGUCGGCUUCAUCCUCUGUCGUGCUCUUCUGUUCUCUAGGCAGUUGAUAGCCUCCUUCCUUUUCUGUGUUCUUGGAGGAAGAGAUACCGUCUCCGGCUUCCGUCUCUGGGGCGUCGCCCUGCUUCAAUCCGUUCUGAGAGCCUCCAGUCUUUCGUCCGUCCUUCGUUUCUCCUUGGCCAUUCGAAUUCGGCAGAGCAUCCUUGUCUCUUUGGUUUUCGUCCUGUGAUGUCGCGUCCUCUGGAUGCCUCGACACUGGCCCUCCCCCUCUGUUUUCUGCGGCCUCGGCUUUCUCAUGUUCUUCACCCGUCCAGGGACCGGAAUUGUGAUCGCGCUCGCUGAUCCCUCUUUCGCCCCCUUUCUCAUUUCCAGCAAAUCCGUUCACAACCUCGAGCCCGGCCUUCUCUUCUCUUUCGUCCCCUGUCUCUCUCCAUGAUUCUUCCAGGAAAAAAUCGGUCCGCUCUUCCUCCUGCAUCGCUUCUUCCCCACAACUCUCUCUCCGACUCGACCCCCUGUUCUUCACUUCCUCGUCCUCUCGUCCUGCUACUGUUCCUUCCAUGUUCUGUUCUUCACUUUGCCUCGCGUCUUCCUUUUUCUUCUCUUCUUCCUCCCAUUCUCCCUCCUCUGCCUCGCGGAUGCCCUCGAGUGCCUGGCGCGCGAGAAACUCUCCCCAGUUAAUGGCCAGCUUUCCUGAGACCUCCUUCGUCGCUUUCAGAAAACGCUCGAUUGCCUGUUAUACAAGGUGAAGGCGAGACGAAACGAGGACAGUUGAUACAUUCAGCGGUUCGUUUCUCCCUCGUCGUGUUUCCUUCCUCUGUUUUCUUUCUUCUUGUUUUCCUUCUCUCGCCUUCCUUCCGCCUCAUGGGUAUUUCCUCAUCUUCCGUGUUCUGCACGGCUCUAUCAUUCCUUCUUUUCCGCUGCUUCUUCGUUUUGCUCGCCAGAAGUUGGUUCCCUUCUCUCCCAGAUGCCAUUGUCUGGACUCGCCUCCUUUUCUUUCGCUUCAUCGAGUCUCCCCUCCUUUAGACAAUCAAGUUCCUUAUGAUUGCACCCCUCCACUGAACUGCUUGAGACAGCUAAAAGCGUUUCAUCGUCUCUUAAUCUUUCCUUAUCCCAGGCCGAGCGUAGCGCCUUCCCAGUUGAUCUCACCCGCGGACUAUCGCUCGGCAGUUCAAGGACGUAGCCGGCCGCUCUCGCCCGCCUGCUCGCCAUGAACUCGGAAGCGAGGCGGAGAGAGUCAGACGUUGAGACUGUUUUCCCGGCCUGCAGCUGACGAAGCAGUCUGAAUCGCAGCAAAUUCAGGUCGCUCACGCAAACGCGAAUCAGGGGUCCACACUGCGUUUUUUGCCUACAGUCAAAGUUCAGAAGAGAGUCGGAAGGACCAUGAGAGAACAACUCAAGAGGAAGAGGGAACGGCACUGCCGCGUCUCGGCCUCUCUCUCAUUGGCUGCGAGGCUUCCGAGCACCCCACGGUGGACGCGGCACACGCACCGGGAAACGAACGAGAAGCGAAACGAAGAAGAAAAAAAAAACAGAAGGGACAGGCUGAGCAGAUGCUGACGCAUCCAGCGACGGACAGCACAAGUGGAGAAGACACUGGCGUAGGUCAGUAACGAAUUGCAAAUAAGUUCUCUAUGAAAAGCGUCGGAAAUACGAGUGUCACUUCUUCCCUUCGUUUCGAGCUCUUUCUUCUGUCCUUUCUCCCCGUUCUUCUCUUGAAGGCCUGCUUCCCCGCGACACGGGCGGGUGAAGGCCCACAAGGGGAAGCAAGAAGCGGUCUGUGAGAAACCAUCCGGAAAGUUCUUUGUCAUUUCGAGAAGAAGCGAGAACAUCUGUCACGGACCUUUUCGCGAGAGGAGAAAGAAGCUGCCUGGACAGCCGACCAAGACUCUGCAGCAAAUACUCUGGUUGCAGCCACUCCAGGCCGAGUUUCCGUGCCAAUUUGUACGCUAGGUUGCUCUUUUCUGUCGACGCAAACAGAAAGCAUCAGAGCCACUGCAGUGUCACAGCAUUUUUGGUCCGCGUAUCGACUUCUUCUGUACAGACAGACGAGUAGAAGGAAUACCGAAACGCAAUGCACCGCCGCGUGAUCUAGUUGUUUAGUUGUUUGUCUCCACUCUGGUUGUGAGUCUCCAUUUUCACGAGUCUAUUUCGCACUAUCUCACCCAUUGCCUUUUUCCCCAACAUGUUGAGAAAAACAUGCACGAGGACGCCUCCAAACACAUGCCUCUUAGUAGAGAGCUAUAUUUGCAUGCAUGUAGGUCCACAUACAGGUGGAUUCGUCUCCAGGCAAAGUUUGAUUUUUUCGCGAAGUCUCAACGCACUCGAAUGCGUUUCUUACCGGGAAUCCCCGGUCCUGCGACCACAAUGGCUUGUUUCGGUGUGAUGGCGAGAUUCACCAUGUCUCUCUCGAGGAGACCUGGACCCGCAUCUGAGGCAGGGAGAGCCUCGUGUACGUACGGCGGCCCUGAGGGAUCUUCAGGAGGAGGUGUAAGCGGAGGCGAGGGAGAAGGGGGUUCUCCCGUCCCUCUCUCACCUCCUCUCGCAGUUCCUGAGACAAACAGACCCGUCGGAAAAAGGAAGUCUACGAGCGGAGCCGUGCUCUGGACGCGGGCAUGUUGAGUCGUGAACGCCUCAAAAGUGUCUGGCUUAGAACGGCCAAUCAAACAGAGACAGAGGGGAGAAGCCGAGUCUCCCCCCAUCAGCCCAGAGGAGUCCACCCGCCACUCGUAGCGCUGCCCUCUGAGAGAUCCGCCGAGGGCGGAGGACAAGGAAAAAGCCGCAACGGUGACUCUCAGAGACAGGAAGAAAGGAAACGUUCGAUGUGCGUUUUCGUGUACACGAAGGUUCGCCUGUUCCUAAAUAGCCUCUGGCCGUUCUGCUCGCCUCCGAUCAGAUGGUACCCUUUCUUGCUUCCGGCGUCGAAAGGUCGCUGAGUGUUCCUUCUUUUCCUCUGUGUCUCUCGGCAAGUCUUGCCAUGUUUCCGAUCCCUUCUUCCUCUGGAACGUACCGCCUUUGCUCGACAGAGUGGCGGCGCUUCGAGGCGUCGCCGAGCACGUCACCAGGGAAACGAGAGCUGAAGGAGAAAAGACGGGAGAAACGGAAGAGGUCAGGGAGCUCACAAGAAAGUUUAAGAUGCAAAUGAAUGGCAGAGGUAGAAACCGACAAGCCAAAGAAGACAGCGAAAGAACAGCAACACGAGAGAGAAGGUGCAGGAGGCAGCGGCGGAGCUGCAGAAGCCAAGUAUCGAGACGAGCGAGGCGCGUGAUGAGGUGUCAACAUAGGGCUACACGGGGACGAAGUUGGUCGUGUGCUUCUUGUUUCAAUACUCGCGCCUCCUCGGUUUCGCAGCUCACUCGUCUUUCGCUUUCCUCUGUGUCAGUUUCUCAAUCUUCUUCCUGUUCUCCGUCAUCUCCUCGGGUCGGCUUCUCCCCUCUAUUAUUUUCUUUGUCUCCCGUGUCUUCUACUCUUUUAAGCCUCUUCCAUAUAUAUGCACCUUGCGCCGUCUCCGCUUCCCUGUCUUCUUCCUUCCUGCCGCCUCUGUCGUUCCUCCCCAGUUCUCUGUCCUUCUUCUCCUUUUGCUUCACCUUCUCCUGUACGCGCACCUCUCGACUCCACCGUCCGUGUGGCACCUUGCCAGGUGGCAAAUUCUGCUCAGUUAACUCCUUCUUCCCGUCUCUAUUAGGUUUCGUCUUCGCUUCUUUCUACAUAGUUUGUGCCUCGUUUCCCUCUGUUUCCUUCACUACAUACACCUUUCUCGCGUCGCACCUUGUCGGCUCCACGUGCUCCCUCUCCCUUUCCAAGCUCCUCCUUACUUUUGAGGGACUCGGCUGUUCUUCUCGCCACAGAACCAGCCGCCUCCAAAAGCAGCGAACCCUCAGCCAGCCAGUUGAAAACUUUGCUUCCUCUCUCUUCGCCCAACAGAAGCGGAUCACUUUGGGACCGAAACAAAAUCCGUGGGGUCCGUGUGCUUUGGCCGCCGGCGUCAUCGCCAGCUCCUCCCGCUCUCUCGCCUUCCUUCGCCUCCAACGCCUCGAAGAGUCCGUCAUCUGGAGUCGUAAUUACAAAUGCAUCUCCGUUCGACGUUUGAUUCGACAGCGCAGCUUCUCCAUCGACGACAACAACCUUCGGCACUGCGCCCAGACUGACGGUGAGAGCGAGCGCGUGUGAGGGUCGUUGAACGUUUCCCCUCCCUCUCCUCAGUUUGCUUCUCUCGUGCGCCACGUUCAGGGGGUCCCUCAUUUCUUCAGGAGACUGGAAGUACGAGGAAUUCCUCAGUGGCCAACCAAAGGCUUCAGGCGUCGCGGAGGCGCCCCUCUCGACGGUUCCGGCAUUCCAUGUUUUCUGGCUCUCCCCCUGCCUCCCCAGAUCGCCUUUCUCUCCUUCCUCGCCGCCUUUGUCGUCUCUGUUUCCAUCUUCUCUGGCGUCUCUUUCUCGAUCUCCGCUGUCUGUGUCGUCGCCGCCUGUGUCUCCCAAUUCCUUCUCAUUCUCUCUGUCUGGCUCUUCGCCGCCUUCUCUGUCCGCCACCGCUACUCUUUCUAUGCGUUCGUCUGUCUUCUGAUUCUCCUCCACUCCGGCCCACUUGUUUUGGAGGACGCGCCUGUAGUCUGCACCGUCCCGCAUUCGUCGAGCGAAGGGCCAGCCACAUUCGCCUGUCGGAGGUCCAGAAACCGCGCGAUGAUAGACAGCCGCACGUGGUUGCUUUCUCCGCGCGUCUCCUUCCUGUUUUCUGUCUCCGUCUUCUCUCUCCUUUUCCGCCUGUCCCUUCUGCUCGUCUUCCUCGCGGGAUCGCAGCACAGACUGCCGCAAAACGGAGUCGACCAUGGCUUGUGCCGCAGCACCGAGGGGGGCAAUUUCUUCUUUCUCUGCCCACACAGUCUGAAUUGCCAGCGUGUCAGGAAGGAGCAAAGGAAGCGGCGAGUGGACGACGUCUUCCUCGAAGGCGAGUGCAUCUGCCUCGGACGCGCCUUGUUCAAUCGCUUCUUGAAGCUCCUUCGCUUCCUCGUGGGUCCACUCAGCAGUCAUGCGAGGCUCGUCUGUCGGGCGUCUGACGAGCGAGACAACGGUCCUGUUCGACGAAGGCGGAGACUCUUGGAUCGACGACGGCUAGACGGAGCACGAAGGUCGACACCCAGACAGACAGAGACGUAAUGCAGUAGGUUUUUGUCGCGCAUGAAGAGGGCGGCGCAACCUCGAGAUGCCAGAUUCGAGUCUCUCGGUGGACCGCGACGUUUGACAAGCAGCUUAGGUCUGUCUACGGUCUCGCAUCUCCGGGCCUUUUUCCCUCACUUUCUUCUGCACGGGCGGCAUGUGGCUUCUCGGUGAGUCGACACCGUGUGUCCGGCGGGUGUUGCCCGUGAAAGAGGGGAAAUCGGCGAAGGGGACAGUUGGCAAACGGAGAUCUCUCGAAACGGAUGGCACUCUUAUUACGCAGCUCCGGAACGUGGUUAUGGUGUCAUAGCGCGAUAGCGACAGCGUCGCACCAGACUUGGACACACAUCGUUGUGGCAUAACAUAAGUUGUUUAACAUAUGCAUAUAUAUAUAUAUAUGCGUGCAUUCAGUGGGGAGGUGCGUAAGUUAGCGCAUCGAGAAGAGGGCAGAAAGUCUUGAGAUAGACAGCUCUGUGGCGAGUGCGGCCCUACGGCUUUCUUGGUUCGGAAGCGAACGACGAUUCUAGGAACAACUCGAAUCUUUUCCACGGAGUCUCUUCGCGUGAUUUGUUGAACUGUUAUACGUUUAAAGAGCUUCGACAAAAAUGUCGCGUAGGCUUCCCCGUCAACCACGGGGGUCCACAAAUCUGCUAACUCGAAGAACGCGUCGCGGAACAAGUUGAAAGUCAGGGACGGACUUCCGUGGGAGUCUCGUCUCCAGUCGUUGUCGAUGAUUGCCAGCGCGCUCUCGGUCGAAAGUGUGGGGAGAAGAACCAAGCAAAUCCUCAUCAAGACCUGGAAAAAAGACAAUCGCCCAGACAGGAACGGAGACAACGCCUGUAGUGAGACCGUGAAACUCUUCCGAUAAGGCCAGCCUCCCACUCGAUAGUUCGUUUUCCAUAUUGGCCUCUUCGCUUCCUUCCGCCACUCCAUUUCCUCGUUCCGCCCCGGCGCUUUCCCCACCUUUCGCCUUCAUCGCCUUCAGCUUCUGCACGAGUAAAUUCUUCUCCCGUUCCCUCUCUUCGCGUUGCUGCUGGAGCUGAAGAAGCUGUUGUUUCUGUUGUUGAAGCUGAAGAGACGUGCGGCGGCUGCCGGUUGUCGGCGACCCGGUGCCAGAAGGCCUAAUCUGAGUGCUGUCUCUUCCCCCUCCAUCUUCCUCUCGAGAUAGAAGAAGCUUGUUUUGCGGAUUUGUCAGGGAUGAUCUUCGACUUCCACUUUUGCCGCCGACAGGACCAUCAAAAAUGUUCACUCCCAAGCUCACUCGGCGGCCACGGGAAGACUGACCGGAAGCAAUCCGUUCACCUUCUCGCCCGCUGGUGCUCUUCUCUCGGUUCACUGACCCCCUCCGAGUCUGCUUCCGUUGUCCUGGCACACCAGUUUGUGUAGUUGCCCAGUCGUCUAGGCCGGCAGGAGAGCCGGGACACCGGAAGAAGCUGGAACUGCGAGAAUUCGCCGAGUCUUCGUCCUCAGGCUUCCGGUCAGAGAGGAGAGAAACUUGUGGAGAGCUCCCUCCCUCCGCCUCAUCGGCGUCUCGCUUCUUGGGCAGGACAGUGGACGACGAGAGGAAAGACGAAGCCGAGGACUCUCGUGAAGCAGUUGAAGGUCGGCGAGAAUGAGACGGAGACGGAUUGCUCCGCUUGAUUCCAAUUGAAUCUCGACGAGACGAGGACGAAGCUCUCCCUUCUUCGCGGGAAGAAUCUGAAGGCUUUUCACCCGGUGUCGACGCAUUUUGGUGGUGCCCUGCUCGGCUUCCAGAGCGAUCUAGACCUGGUGUGCCACCACUCGGGGGAUCUUCAGUGGCUGCAGAACUGAACGCCAUUCUCCGAGGAAAGGUGUGAAUAUGGGCUGCCAAUGGCCAAACAGCACACACGAAGGAGGCGCGGAACAGGCAAGACAAGCAGGAAAAAAAGGGCAAGUGAAAACUCUGCGUCCGCGCAGAAAGGCUGUACGAGCGCCCCGGGCGCGGGGUCAGCUAAGAGCCGAGAUCUAAGGAGGAAACAGAGAAAGAGUGGUUGCUACUCAUUACUCUUGAGUCAAUACAGAAAGAAAGCGAGAAUCGGAUAGCAUGUCUCGGCGUUAUCCUUCGUGUGAGAAGAAUGGUAUCGUUCGAUAAAGAAUACCUUUACGACUUGGCGGGCAACCAGGCUACGCUAGGGUGGGCGGAAGAGUCCAAACGUUGAGGCCGAGGCGGCAUCCAAAAUGUAGUGCACAAUAAGGCAAUAAGCGUAGAUUGGUCUAGUAUUCUACACGUCUGUAAUUUGCAAAUAAGCUCCAGAGUGAACGUGCAUGGGGCUCAUGUCCUCCAGCACACCCGGUUGAGUGCCGGGCGUUUUUCGCACUAGCGAGGAACAGACUCUAGGGAGAUUCUCAGAAUAGUUUGUGUGUGUCUUCAGGGCGUCUUAGGUAAAGUGACCAAAAGGCUUCCGCCUGCAUUUUGUGCCGUAAACGGACGGUGAAAAAAAGAGCUACUUCAAGAACAGGUCUUCGUCAACAUAUAGUGUCCAACAAGCUUCAUUUCGCGAUGUUGACAGCUUUUGCCGCUGAGUGCGGUGACCUCGUAAGCAGGUGGGGACUGCAUGAACUUGUGUGCACCAUCGAAUUGAAAGAAUAAACAAAAACUCUCCACUUACCACGUUCCUUUCAUUCGACACCAGGUUUCUUUCAUUCAACGCUAGGUUCUUUGUCAGAGUAAUCCAGAGAAAGUUCUACUUGCCGCGCUCACGCUCGCUGUGAACGACUUUUCGCGCUCCCCCAAUUGACGCCAACGCUGAGAAAUGUUUUGUUUUGUGUAGCAACAUAAUCUAGACUUUGCGUACACUGCCUGCGUGAAGCCGCUCGAAAGAUGCACGCGAUUUUAUGGCGAGGCACACUUCACAAAUAUUUUCUUCCUUUCCCUCCUUCAGAAGGAAGCAUAGCUGACGGGUGAAGAUUGCGGCAAUCCCCUUGUUAGAACGCACGGCACUUCGAAGGUGCUCGUAGAGCUAACAUGAGAAGGUUUAAUGAGAAGGUUUACUCGAUUGGGUAAGGCGUGUGCCUUCCGUUUGAUAGACGAAUACGUAGAAAACAGAGGACUAACCUGUACUUCAUCUGCAAUGAAGCAAGUUUUCUCGAGGUUUCAGCACAACAGAUGGAGGGAAAAGCAUCUGGUCAGACCUCAGAGGCCCUUCAUGAAACCAAAGGAAGUUGCAAUUUGUUACCAGUUUGUGUAGGCUUCACAGCUUAGACGGCAGAACCGUUCCUUCAGCCCAAACCUAGUCACUGGGCUAGUGGAUAGCGGGAGCACUGCGUUUUGAAAACGACGACGGUUGCUGUAGGCAAAUUUGGCUUUCUCCAACAACGGACAGACAUUAAAGUUGCACAAUCUCGGUUUUACGUACGGCAUGUACCUCGAAAUCAACCCGCGGUGCCCCUGUAAAGGGCCUACCAAGGAUGGUCUCUGCCUACUCAUAUUCGCCCCUCUGUUGCCUAGGGAGCUGCUUCGUAAACUUUACACUGCC
rnacentral:lncRNA from 1 species